GACGAACCGAGCGAACGUUGUUCGGAAUCACUGGGCUUAAAGGGCGCGUAGGCGGGCUGCCGCGUCCGGGGUGAAAUCCUCCCGCCCAACGGGAGAACGGCCUCGGAUACGGGCGGCCUCGAGGGGGGUAGGGGCGUGCGGAACUGUGGGUGGAGCGGUGAAAUGCGUUGAGAUCCACAGGAACUCCGGUGGCGAAGGCGAGUCCCUGGACAGGUCCUGACGCUGAGGCACGAAAGCUAGGGGAGCAAACAGG
rnacentral:rRNA from 1 species